rnacentral:rRNA from 1 species
AGAGUUUGAUCCUGGCUCAGGAUGAACGCUGGCGGUCUGCUUAACACAUGCAAGUCGAACGGAGUAGCAAUACUUAGUGGCGGACGGGUGAGUAACGCGUGAGAAUCUACCUUCAGGACGGAGACAACAGUUGGAAACGACUGCUAACCCCCGAUGAACCGAAAGGGCAAAUAUUUAUAGCCUGAAGAAGAGCUCGCGUCCGAUUAGCUAGUUGGAGAGGUAAAAGCUCACCAAGGCGACGAUCGGUAGCUGGUCUGAGAGGACGAUCAGCCACACUGGGACUGGGACACGGCCCAGACUCCUACGGGAGGCAGCAGUGGGGAAUUUUCCGCAAUGGGCGAAAGCCUGACGGAGCAAGACCGCGUGGGGGAAGAAGGCUCUUGGGUUGUAAACCCCUUUUCUCUGGGAAGAACGCAAUGACGGUACCAGAGGAAUCAGCAUCGGCUAACUCCGUGCCAGCAGCCGCGGUAAGACGGAGGAUGCAAGCGUUAUCCGGAAUGAUUGGGCGUAAAGCGUCCGCAGGUGGCAGUUCAAGUCUGCUGUCAAAGACCGGGGCUCAACCUCGGAAAGGCAGUGGAAACUGAACAGCUAGAGUAUGGUAGGGGCAAAGGGAAUUCCUGGUGUAGCGGUGAAAUGCGUAGAGAUCAGGAAGAACAUCGGUGGCGAAGGCGCUUUGCUGGACCAUAACUGACACUCAGGGACGAAAGCUAGGGGAGCGAAUGGGAUUAGAUACCCCAGUAGUCCUAGCCGUAAACGAUGGAUACUAGGUGUUGUCUGUAUCGACCCGAGCCGUGCCGAAGC